GACGUAGGGCGCGAGCGUUGUCCGGAUUUAUUGGGCGUAAAGAGCUCGUAGGCGGCUUGUCGCGUCGUCCGUGAAAACCUGCAGCUCAACUGCGGGCUUGCGGUCGAUACGGGCAGGCUAGAGUUCGGUAGGGGAGACUGGAAUUCCUGGUGUAGCGGUGAAAUGCGCAGAUAUCAGGAGGAACACCGGUGGCGAAGGCGGGUCUCUGGGCCGAUAUUGACGCUGAGGAGCGAAAGCGUGGGGGGCGAACAGG
rnacentral:rRNA from 1 species